rnacentral:rRNA from 1 species
GUGGAUUAGAUACCCUGGUAGUCCACGCCGUAAACGAGGGGCACUAGGCGCUUGGGGGAGCGACCCCCCGAGGGCCGGCGCUAACGCAUUAAGUGCCCCGCCUGGGGAGUACGGCCGCAAGGCUGAAACUCAAAGGAAUUGACGGGGGCCCGCACAAGCGGUGGAGCAUGUGGUUUAAUUCGACGCAACGCGAAGAACCUUACCUAGGCUUGACAUACACGGGAAACCUCUCAGAAACGGGAGGCCCUCUUCGGAGCCCGUGCACAGGUGCUGCAUGGCUGUCGUCAGCU